GCGUCAACAAUGUGCGAAAUUUAAUACCAAAUGGACGUAAUACAGUUAUUGUUAUGGAAAAGACCAAACUUGAAUAUAUUAGGCUCAUGUGUCAAAUGAAAAUGACUGGAGCAAUUUGUAAGCAAACUUGAACUAUUGAUCGGUGGCUUGCUUACUGUAAAUAUCUUAAAGGAGGAUCUUAAAGCAAAUAUUGAGUAUCAUAAAUACACUGCUACGUCUUUAUAGGUACAUUUUGAUAUUUUGUAUUAGCUCAAGUUUGAAAGACUUGAAUUAUACCAUCUUUUUUCCACUCACAGAUUCAAUGGUUCUGGUGCAUUGCGAGGUUUUAAUCAAGCGGAUUGUUCGAAGUUCUUACAAUUUAUCACUGGUACAUCUAAAGUGUCGUUACAAAGUUUUGCUGCGUUAGAAGGCAUGAACGGCAUACAAAAGUUCCAAAUUCACAGAGAAGACAAGUUGACAGACAGGCUUUCAUUUGCACAUAUUUGUUUCAAUCAACUGGAUUUGCCAGUGUACGAGACGUAUGAUAAACUCUAAACAAAUCUACUCAAGGCGACUUACGAAUGCACCAAAGAAUUUGGAUUUGCAUAAGCUUACCAGAAUUUGCUCCAGUACAAUUUCAAUUUCAAUCGAUACAAUUUCGCAUUCAAUCGAUGAUAUUCUAGAGACCAAACUUAUGGUUGGAUCUUUACAGCCAGUGAUAACAUUCCGGACGUGCAAUAGCCUAUUGCUUGCAAAAUUUUUAACGUACUUACAAAAAUUGUUAUACGCAAUGUUAUAUAUAAAACUAUCUUGUGAACGUAGCGAAUCACAGUGCUCUAAUUACUAUAAUAUGUAUUAUUACACUUAUACGACUUUAUAAAAUGAAAUAUAUAUUUUCAUUUUAUUAUACACAUUAAUUCUCAUGUAAUUAAUGGACAAUAAUUUAUUCGUUAAUAUAUACGCUAAUAAAUACGCUGAUUUUAAAA